ACUCGAGUGGCGAACGGGUGAGUAACACGUGGGUGAUCUGCCCUGCACUUCGGGAUAAGCUUGGGAAACUGGGUCUAAUACCGGAUAGGAGCCAUCUUUAGUGUGGUGGUUGAAAAGUUUUUCGGUGUAGGAUGAGCUCGCGGCCUAUCAGCUUGUUGGUGGGGUAAUGGCCUACCAAGGCGGCGACGGGUAGCCGGCCUGAGAGGGUGUACGGCCACAUUGGGACUGAGAUACGGCCCAG
rnacentral:rRNA from 1 species